AGCUUUUGUGGCCUCAGCCUACAUUCCUGAGAGCCUGGGCAGCUUGCAAGGCGAUGAUGACAAGAUCUACUUUUUCUUCAGCGAGACUGGCCAGGAAUUUGAGUUCUUUGAGAACACCAUUGUGUCCCGCAUUGCCCGCAUCUGCAAGACAGGAUCUUUGCUCUGUCACCCAGGCUGGAGUGCAGUGGCACGAUCACGGUUCACUGCAGCCUCGACCUCCUGGGCUCAAGCAGUUCUCCUACCUCAG
rnacentral:lncRNA from 1 species